rnacentral:ncRNA from 1 species
AUAAAGGCAUGGAACAGGAUAUGACCUGCUCUUUUGAGCACACAGAGAACCGUUAUUUGGUGAAAAACGGUAGCAGAAAAAGAGAAUGGCCCUCACCUGCGAGCUGUUUCGGUGAAUUGGAAAGUAACCGAAGCCGGAAUACCCACCGUUAAAAGGGAACCCCUUAGCGGGAAAAGCGGUUGUUUAGAAAACGACAAACAGAGUGGUACCGCGGAGAAAAUUCAAAACCUUCGCCUCUGAU